rnacentral:rRNA from 1 species
UACGGGGGGAGCAAGCGUUGUUCGGAUUUACUGGGCGUAAAGGGCGCGUAGGCGGUCAGCACAAGUCAGUUGUGAAAUCUCCGGGCUUAACUCGGAAAGGUCAACUGAUACUGUGCGACUAGAGUGCAGAAGGGGCAACUGGAAUUUACGGUGUAGCGGUGAAAUGCGUAGAUAUCGUAAGGAAGACCAGUGGCGAAGGCGGGUCUCUGGACAGUUCCUGACGCUGAGGCACGAAGGUCAGGGGAGCAAACGGG